AACGAACGCUGGCGGCAUGCCUAACACAUGCAAGUCGAACGAGACCUUCGGGUCUAGUGGCGCAUGGGUGCGUAACGCGUGGGAACCUGCCGUUAGGUUCGGAAUAACUCCCUGAAAGGGGUGCUAAUACCGGCUAAUGUCUUCGGACCAAAGAUUUAUCGCCUUUGGAUGGGCCCGCGUUGGAUUAGCUGGUUGGUAGGGUAUAAGCCUACCAAGGUGACGCUCCAUAGCUGGUCUGAGAGGAUGAUCAGCCACACUGGGACUGAGACGCGGCCCAGACUCCUACGCGAGGCAGCAGUGGGGAAUAUUGGACAAUGGGCGAAAGCCUGAUCCAGCAAUGCCGCGUGAGUGAUUAAGGCCUUAGGGUUGUAAAGCUCUUUUACCCGGGAUGAUAAUGACAGUACCGGGAGAAUAAGCUCCGGCUAACUCCGUG
rnacentral:rRNA from 1 species